CGCCAGACUCCUACGGGAGGCAGCAGUGGGGAAUAUUGCACAAUGGGGGGAACCCUGAUGCAGCAACGCCGCGUGAGUGAAGAAGUACCUCGGUAUGUAAAGCUCUAUCAGCAGGGAAGAAGAUGACGGUACCUGACCAAGAAGCCCCGGCUAACUACGUGCCAGCAGCCGCGGUAAUACGUAGGGGGCAAGCGUUAUCCGGAUUUACUGGGUGUAAAGGGAGCGUAGACGGCAGUGCAAGUCUGAAGUGAAAGCCCCGGGCUUAACCCGGGAAUUGCUUUGGAAACUGUACGGCUGGAGUGCUGGAGAGGUAAGCGGAAUUCCUAGUGUAGCGGUGAAAUGCGUAGAUAUUAGGAGGAACACCAGUGGCGAAGGCGGCUUACUGGACUGUAACUGACGUUGAGGCUCGAAGGCGUGGGGAGCAAACAGGAUUAGAUACCCUUGUAAU
rnacentral:rRNA from 1 species